rnacentral:lncRNA from 1 species
AGUGGACCAGGCUUCUGAUGGAACUAUUACAAGCAUGAAGAAGAGGUGGUGAGAUGGUCCUGCUGACCCCAGGGCAGAUGGCAUUGACAAAGCUGUAUGUGGAAGGUAGGAGAGACAUGGAUACAUCUCAACAGAGCCCAUGAUGGGUACAGAACACUGAGACACUAGGGACAAGGUUUCUGAAGUACCACAUGCCUGAUGUUCCUUCUCUGCCCUGGAGGAGACCAGAAGAUGAAAAGCUUUCUGCGGACCUUCCAAUCUCCUCUUGAAUCGUGCCACAUCCUGCAGAUGUCCCUAGGCAGGACCCUUAACCUUGCUAAGCCUGUUUGUCAACUCCUAUGUAAGUCCAGUGAGACUCAUUUCUCAGGAUUAGACAAUGUCUGCCUGACAUCUAGAAGCAACUAGGUGCUUGCUACUGUGAGAGCCACAGCCUAUGGCUUAGUUCUGUUUCUUUCUUACCAUGAGACUUGGACUGGUUAUUUAACCCUAUGGAGCUUCAAUUCCCUCAUAAAUAUGAUGGGAAAACCAUAAUGUGUAAUAGGGCUCUUGAACGAAAUCUUUGGAAAGAAAAUAUAACAAGCUGGAAGCUUUACUUUUUCCCUGUUGGAGGAGACUCAAAACAUUGAGUUUUCUCUCUCUAGUGAUGUCUAUGCCAAUCAUCAGGCUCUUGCUCUGCCUCCACACUUCCUUGUUUUAGCAAAACUCAGGAGUUCCUUUAAGAAGAAGCUUCAAAGCUCCACCUCUGGCCUUUGGGAGUCUGGAGGACCUAGCUUCAGGGUGAGAUCCCGCUCAACUAAAAGACAACAGGGGCUGGAAUUUGGAAUGACAUUAAACUAUGUGUAGCCCAAGUCUAAGGAAAGGGACUGGACGCUGUGAGAAAAGGGGAAAGGAGGCCUGCCUGGCUUCCACAAAGGCAUACCUACAUAGCGCUCUGGGACAGAGCAGGCAAUGCGCAGGAUUGAGUUGGGUGUGGCACACACGUGUGACCCCAGCAUAUGGAAGGCCAAGGCAAGCAGAUUGCAAACCUGGGUUAUAUGUCAAGACCCUGGAUACAGGGGUGGGUAGAGGGAUCUAGAGGUGGGAGGUGUCCCUGAAGAGUGCAAGUCUUGGCUUCUACCCAGUCCUAUCAGGUUAGUGACUGCUUCAGUACCAACAGGUGACAUCAUAUGCACAGAAAGUGUUUUUACCCCUUUCCCUUUCUCGCUUUUGGUUCAGUGUAACAGGCCACCUGUUCCAAGGCACAAGGAGAUAACUACAGGGUCACUGUGGCCCUCUACCUGGGUAUCCCUGGAGGUCAUUUGCCCUUUCUGUCCCAUGGAAUGACAGCUGCCUGCAGUGAAACUGCAUUGCCACUGUGGGUAGCUGGGUUGAAGUCAUCUGUCAUGCGGGGCUUCUGUUUACCAGCGACUUCCUAAUUCCCUAGCCCCCAAACAUCAAACCCUUGCUGUUCCCUCAAGUCCGUGUAAUUGAGGGCCAGUCAUUCAGGCCAGCUCUUAGGUCCAGCCUGUCCUCUGUGUUCUUUAGUCUAUGACUGCAUGAACACCCAUCAUGAUUCACGAUACAGAGACAUGCCACAGGUCUUCCCUGACAUGCUCUCAAAUCCCUCUGCAACUAUGACCUUAAGUAAGUUGUCUCUGUCUUAGUAUGAUCUCACAGGCAGCGAUGCAAAAUUAAUACAAUCCCUAUCAAAUAUGGAUGGCUUUAAAACAGGUCGACUUGUCCACCUACAAAAUGGAAGGAGAUGACUCUCAGCAAAGGUCAAAUGUGAGGAGAAAAUGUUGUACAAACUGCAGAAUACGGUGCAAGCAUAAAAUUAUGACAAUGAAAAUGAUGUAUAAAUCUAUACAUAAAAUCCUUAGCAUACUUAUAGCCUGGCUGGGAGCAAAGAGAGGAUAAAUAACAGAGUAUCUUCCCAUUAACAGGCACUCUGCCAGGAAGGUCAAGUGAAGUCAUUAAUGUUUGUCUAACUUCUGACUUGGGUCCAGAUUCCCCUUUCCUCCUAAGAAGCCUAAUCUACCCUGAAGCUGCCCUCUGGGCCAGAAGCAACCAGAGGCCUCUCUGCCCUCAGCUGUGCAUGGCAGAGAUAGAUCAGAGACAAGAGAACCAAGCAGAAGACCCCUCAGGAGCAUUUGACAACUUCCUUUCUAUAGGAUUCGAAGAGGCCAAAAGUGCCUACAGGCAUGGGAUAGAGUGCUAAGAAACAGGAUGACUGGACAGGCAAGAGAAGAAAACCCAGGUUCCCUUUGAUACUUCUGAGGGUUUGCAUGUGGAUACCAAUCUCCAUGUUAGAGAUUAAUGGGGCAAAGCAAUGCACAGCUGCAAAGAACCACAUAAGAACCACAGUUUGAGGUUCAGGAUGGGGUUGUACUGUGUUCUCUGCAAGCACAUCGAGUCCUCUCUGGAUCUAUGAAUACCAUUCAUUUGGAGAAAGGGUCUUGGAAGGUGGUCCCAAUUAAAAUGAGGUCAUUAGUAUGAGUCCUAAUCUCAUAUACCUGUGCUCCUAAGAAAUACGAAAUUUUUCCCUAGGGCUUAAGGCAUACCUGGGAAGAAUGAUACAUGAAAAUGAAGGCAGGAGAUCAGUUGACAGGUCUAUGGACCAAAGAAUAGCAAGGAUUAUCAACAAGUUCCCAGAAGCCAGAGAGAAUCAGAGAAACAUCUGACUCUGUCCCCAGAAGCAUUCAACACCACUAAACAUGAUCUAGGACUUACUACAUCAGAAAUGAAAGACAACUUUCUGUUGUUUAAGACAUUCAACCUGUGGUCCUUGUUAUAGCCGUCACAACAAUAAAUACAAGGUAAGUACAACAAUAAGUACAAGAACAUUGGGUACCAUGAGCACAAAGCCAUAUGGAUCGAACAACUGAUUUGAACCUCUGCACCACCACCUCCAACCACCCCCUUACCUUAUUAGGCCACCAUUUCUUCACCUAUUAAAUAAGAGAUCUCUCCAUAGCUUAUGGCCAUCAAGAAUCAAGCCAAGUAACAAACUCAGGCAUCUAGUUACAACGCCUGUAUUGGGUUUCAAACCUGAGACAAUCCAAAUGGCUGAGGCAUGAAUUUAACAUAUCAAAGCAGACUUGUCUGCCAGUGUCUCCUAGCUUAUUACAGGGCCCUCCAGUCUGCUACCUCUACCCUAAACUUCUCCAGCCCAAGGGCUGGGCUCCCACUUCCCCAGCUGCCCUUCCCCCUGUAAUCCAACCUUCUUGGUUACCUGGUCUUUUCAUCUGCCCUCUUUUGGGCCUUCUGGCUGCUGCACCUGGUUCUCCUCUCUCUCCUCUCCCAAGUCUUCUCACAGGGCUCAGGGUCCUGACCACUCUGGACUCUCCCAGCAGCCCCUGCUUCUGGCUAUGCUCUCCCUUUUAUCCACGAUAAACUUUCUCCUUUACCAUACCUAGGGGCAAUCAUGUUUCCUUUUUAUUUCGUUUUCUCAGUCAGCCUGUCUUCUAGCACGCACUCAGCAGUGGUGAUGGGCUUACGAUUACCAGAGGUGAGAGCUUAUCUCAAAUUCCUUGAUCCCCUUUAAACCACUCCAGCCCUCACAAGACAAGCAGAAGGACCUUUGUCCUGUCAGGCUGUGGGGAUACCUAAUAUAAUACUGUAGAAAAAGAAACUUUAACAUACACUCGGAUUGCUGAACAAAUUCAACAGCUUUAAACUCUAUGUUUAUCUCACAGUUGUGUAGAGGAGAAAUUUGAGGGGUGUGGAUAGAUUCUUUGCUUAGGCUCUCGUGUCUGAGGCAAAGUUAAGAUUAACUGGGUUUUACCUGGUGGUUUUAUAUGGACCCGUUGCUUCCUCUGGAGCCACUCCGGUUCCUGGGAAAAUCCAGUUCCUUGCAGUCAUUGAAGUGAAAGUUCUCUGCUCUUAACUACUCUCACGUACUACAGCGGAGAAGUGUUGUGUAUCAAACUCCCGUACAUCUUGGAUCUUCCUGACUUCUGCUACUGACUGCUCUUAAAGGGCUCUUGAGAUUAGACUAGCCUGCCUGGAGAAUCUCCAUGGGCUGUGUGGUAAACUAAUGGUAAUUGGAAACACUUAUUCAAAGGCAGACUGGAAGAAGGCAUGGUGACUCAAGUGCAAUCUCACCUCUCAACAGGCUGAGACAGGAGGAUUGUCAGGAGUUCCCAGUCAAGCUACAUAGUAAAUUCUAGGCCAGCCUAGGUUACAAGACACUGAGACACUGUGUCAACAAGAAACAAUAGCAAAAUACAAAAGACAUAAGAGCCCAAGAGACAAUAGCUAAGAAGACAUUAGACUAUGAAGAUGAGCAUGUAGUAUAUUAUGAUGGAGUUUUAUUCUAAGAAAGAGAAACAGGGCUCAAUUCUGAAUAAAGAAAACUGGACAUUUAUAGCUAGCAACAGUAGGUACGAGGUCACUGAGACAGUCACCAAAGUCCUAAGAUUCUGGCUGAGCCGAUCCAACAGGAUACUUGCUCAGACGUCAUCUGGAGGUAGGAGAAGAAGAAUCUGGUCAGAUAUGGAGAGUGAUCAGGUAUCAAGGCUAAACUCACGCAGCAGGGUUUCACUUAGUUGGGUGGCAAGAGGUGAGGCUUCAUUAAGCUGAGACUAUGUCACAUGAGACAGUUACCCAGAAGUGACGGUCACAGUCUGCUUGCUCCAUGGGUUCUAUUCCUGGCUCCACCAGUGAGCAGGUGAGAAGCCCUGUGCACAGUCCGUCAUCUUUCUGAGCUACAAAUUGCUUUUAAUUCAAAUAGUCUGCCCAUGCAUAUCUUCUUAACUCCCAUAUGAUCUUGUCUUUUCGAUGUGUGUGUGUGUGUGUGUAUGUGUGUGUGUGUGUGUGUGUGUGUGUGUGUGUGUGUGUGUUUUAAAUGAGGUCUGCAACCAAAGGCAGGGCUACUGGCCCUUAAUGGAAAUAAGAUUGGCUGGGAAAG